GACGUAGGGCGCGAGCGUUGUCCGGAUUUAUUGGGCGUAAAGAGCUCGUAGGCGGCUUGUUGCGUCGGCUGUGAAAACCCGUGGCUUAACUGCGGGCUUGCAGCUGAUACGGGCAGACUGGAGUACUGCAGGGGAGACUGGAAUUCCUGGUGUAGCGGUGGAAAUGCGCAGAUAUCAGGAGGAACACCGGUGGCGAAGGCGGGUCUCUGGGCAGUAACUGACGCUGAGGAGCGAAAGCGUGGGAGCGAACAGG
rnacentral:rRNA from 1 species